GCUGGGUGUGGUGGUGCAUGCCUGUAGUUCCAGCUACUCGGGAGGCUAAGGUGGGGGGAUUGCUUGAACCCAGGAGGUCAAGGCUGCAGUGAGCUGAGAUUGUGCCACUGCACUCCAGUCUGGGUAACAGAGCAAGACCCUGUCUCAA
rnacentral:SRP_RNA from 1 species